rnacentral:rRNA from 1 species
UACGUAGGGGGGCAAGCGUUGUCCGGAAUCAUUGGGCGUAAAGCGCGUGUAGGCGGCCCCGGUAAGUCCGCUGUGAAAGUCGGGGGGCUCAACCCUCGAAUGCCGGUGGAUACUGUCGGGCUAGAGUGCGGAAGAGGCGAGUGGAAUUCCUGGUGUAGCGGUGAAAAUGCGCAGAUAUCAGGGAGGGAAACACCCGAUUUGCGAAAGGCAGCUCGCUGGGGACUCACUGACGCUGGAGACGCGAAAAAGCGUGGGGG